rnacentral:rRNA from 1 species
GAGUUUGAUCGUGGCUCAGGACGAACGCUGGCGGCGUGCCUAAUACAUGCAAGUCGAGCGGAUCUUCAUUAGCUUGCUUUUGAAGAUCAGCGGCGGACGGGUGAGUAACACGUGGGCAACCUGCCUGUAAGACUGGGAUAACUUCGGGAAACCGGAGCUAAUACCGGAUAAUCCUUUUCCUCUCAUGAGGAAAAGCUGAAAGACGGUUUCGGCUGUCACUUACAGAUGGGCCCGCGGCGCAUUAGCUAGUUGGUGAGGUAACGGCUCACCAAGGCGACGAUGCGUAGCCGACCUGAGAGGGUGAUCGGCCACACUGGGACUGAGACACGGCCCAGACUCCUACGGGAGGCAGCAGUAGGGAAUCUUCCGCAAUGGGCGAAAGUCUGACGGAGCAACGCCGCGUGAGCGAUGAAGGCCUUCGGUCGUAA